GACGGGUGAGUAAUGCAUCGGAACGUACCCAGUCGUGGGGGAUAACGUAGCGAAAGUUACGCUAAUACCGCAUGAGACCUGAGGGUGAAAGCGGGGGAUCGCAAGACCUCGCGCUAUUGGAGCGGCCGAUAUCAGAUUAGGUAGUUGGUGGGGUAAAAGCCUACCAAGCCGACGAUCUGUAGCUGGUCUGAGAGGACGACCAGCCACACUGGGACUGAGACACGGCCCAGACUCCUACGGGAGGCAGCAGUGGGGAAUUUUGGACAAUGGGCGCAAGCCUGAUCCAGCCAUGCCGCGUGCGGGAAGAAGGCCUUCGGGUUGUAAACCGCUUUUGUCAGGGAAGAAAUCUUCUGGGCUAAUACCUCGGGAGGAUGACGGUACCUGAAGAAUAAGCACCGGCUAACUACGUG
rnacentral:rRNA from 1 species